GUACUUUAUUCUCGGUAAGAUUGUGGGCCACACUACAGCUUUUCCUGACUCUGCGGAGAAAACGGCCCGAUCUGUGCAGGGGAUGUCCGAGAUAUUCUGGUCAGACUAUAUAAAGUGAAAGUAGCAGAUUGGGUUGGUGUUUUCGACUUGACUAAGAGUGCAAGUACAAAGAAUGUUAGCGUGUAACACGUGCCUCUGUGCCCAGGCAAUCUGGUCUCUCAGUAAUUUCUCGUGAUACUAUCAUAAAAAGAGCAAUUACAUUCAAAUGCGCGGAUAAUGGGGGAGUUCGGGUAGCGACCAGCCCCCCCCCUCCUCUGACACAUUAACUGUAAAAUUAACGAAAAAUACUCCCUCUCCCCGUGGAAAACAAACCGUCCCUCGUUCGUCUUUACCCCGUGGACAAAAUUUCUGGAUCCACGCAAGACUCAUGUAAAAUUCAUAUGAGAAUUUUGCGCGUAAAAUUUGUGUGAGAAUAAUAUUUAUUAUAAUUAAUUAAGACUUUUAUAGGUGAAAUAAGCGAACUGCGCUUUCCGUAGAUUUUACAGGAAGCAUAAUUAGCUGUGUAUUGUGUGUAUAUUAUUUGUAAGUUAUUAUUUAUUAUGUUAAAUAUGAGAAAGUGAUUGUUGUUAGCAGGCCGCUGUUAAAUCACGUCUGUUUUGUGAUUAUUGUGUGCUGUUAUGACAGAGUGUACAGAAUUAUCUACGCGACAAGUCGCAGCUCUGUCUCAAAUUUCUUAUGAUAAAAUAUAUAUAUUUUUUAAGUUAG
rnacentral:sRNA from 1 species